GAUGAUUCAUCACUUACGCUUUACCGUUUAGAUCAAAAAAUUAAAAUUCAACGAAGAUCUUGAGCAGAGGGAAGAAUAUUAGCUAUGGAGAAACAAAAGUGAAGAAAAUAUAAGUAUAAAAAAAUAAUAUAUCAACUUGGAAAAGGAAGAAAGAAUAAAAGAGAUUUAGUUACAACCAAAUGAAAAGAAGAGAGGAAGAGAAAAAAAGAAAACUAGGUGGUGACGGCGCGACAGAGGUCCAAUAGUGGUGCGAUGUUGAUAAAGAAAGAAAAAGAGGGGAAGAACGGUUGUG
rnacentral:lncRNA from 1 species